GAUACCUGAAAAAACAAAAUAGAAAAAAAAGGAAGUAUACGGUAACUUUUUGAACACUGUUUACAUUUACCAAUAUAAAUAAAGUUGGUUCAUCAAUAUCAUAUCAUUAAAUGAAUCGGCAAUGAACGGCUUGUGGCCCCAAGACCUUUGAAAAUGGUUUUGUACGGUUAAGGUUAAAAAUAAAUUUUGUGUUUUAAAAAUCGAAUUUGGCCCUUGAACACAAAAAUGUGCCCACACGAUUUGUAAAGUCAGUCACGCGUCCCUGGCAGUCAUACGUCAUUCAAAUAAAGUAGAAAUACUAAAUGUGCUCUCAGAGACCAUGUGGAAACAUAUCGCCCUACAUCAACCAAAUUCAAAUUACGCCUGAGGAAUUGGACCAAGUCUCUGGAAACAAGUGCCGGUAUGAAGUCACGCGACCAAGUACAGCCCUACAGUUAAUUCCUUAACAUCAAGUGCCGCCCCCCCCCCCUCAAAGAUGGAGGCCACACUCACUCGUGGGCCCUUUUCCCACAACCUCAAGGCACCUCGGAGGAAGUCACCCAAGCGUGACGGCGCUCUUUGAUUAAAAGGCUGAAUGUCCAAGGUUGUCCCGGAGAGUGUGGCAUUAGCAAAAGCACAUGCUCUCCUUUGGGGCCAGAACAAUGGCAGCCUUUGUUAGCGGCGCCGCAAGUGUCUGUUUAGAUUUAAACGAGGGAUCUCAGCGCCGGCGCGUAGACAAUAAAACCAGGGUGGGGUGUGCGUGAGCUCUGGUAUAGCGCCGUGCACAUGGCAGCGUCAUUUACGAGAUUCGAGAAAAUACAUCCGAGCUGUUAAGUGAUCUUGCAGCUUCAGCCCAGUUUGAAUUGAUUUAUUUGCUCCCACGCAGAUGUCACAAUAAGCACUUCAAUGGAUAAGGACCUCAGAUUUUGGGAUUUUGCUGUCUCUCGGUCCGUCUAAAACAGUCAACAAGGUCACUCAUUUUUUAAUAAGUAGAACCUAACUAACAGCUAUAUUUUCUGAAGAACUCACCCUCUCGCAUUUUAUGCAAAUGUUCUCUUCAGGCGUGGUCCUUAAUCCCAGCUAAUAGCAAGGGCUCACUCUGUAUAUGCGCCGUGUGGACGGGAGGAGGAGACUUGUCAUCAUGCCGCUCGGGCUCGAGGGCGCUCUAUAAACAGCAACUGGAAAAAAGUGGCUGACGAAGCUACUGAACCCAUUGUUGCCAAAAACAAAAAAAACGCAGGUACGCUCACGAGCCAAUGCAAACAUGGAAGCCUCAUCAGUGCGUGAGCAGAGAGCAAAACAGUAUUGACGGAAAAGCUCCCGACUUCCCGGGUCACUGUCCCUGACCCCGACCUGGACAUCUUCAGGAAGACUCCUUGACGUCUGCGAGAUGCAAACCGAGCUCGCAUCGCCUGCGGUGGAAGUAGCAUCACGGAGCGAUACUUCCCGACCACUUUAUUAGCCACCCAGCAAAAGUCUCUGCACUGACACAGAACCGCUGCUUUCCACACUGCUCGUGUAACUACAAAGACAAGCAAGUGACAGUGAUGA